rnacentral:rRNA from 1 species
CGGGCGGACGGGUGAGUAACGCGUGGGUAACCUGCCCCAUACAGGGGGAUAACAGUUAGAAAUAGGCUGCUAAUACCGCAUAAGACCACAGUACUGCAUGGUACAGUGGUAAAAACUCCGGUGGUAUGAGAUGGACCCGCGUCUGAUUAGGUAGUUGGUGAGGUAACGGCCCACCAAGCCGACGAUCAGUAGCCGACCUGAGAGGGUGACCGGCCACAUUGGGACUGAGACACGGCCCAG